rnacentral:tRNA from 1 species
GAGGGUAUAGCUCAGUGAUAGAGUGUGUGCCUAGCAUGCAUAGUACUGGGUUCAAUUCCCAGCACCUCCA